AGCGAACGCUGGCGGCAGGCUUAACACAUGCAAGUCGAGCGCCGUAGCAAUACGGAGCGGCAGACGGGUGAGUAACACGUGGGAACGUGCCUUUUGGUUCGGAACAACACAGGGAAACUUGUGCUAAUACCGGAUAAGCCCUUACGGGGAAAGAUUUAUCGCCAAAAGAUCGGCCCGCGUCUGAUUAGCUAGUUGGUGGGGUAAUGGCCCACCAAGGCGACGAUCAGUAGCUGGUCUGAGAGGAUGAUCAGCCACACUGGGACUGAGACACGGCCCAGACUCCUACGGGAGGCAGCAGUGGGGAAUAUUGGACAAUGGGGGAAACCCUGAUCCAGCCAUGCCGCGUGAGUGAUGAAGGCCUUAGGGUUGUAAAGCUCUUUCGUCGGGGAAGAUAAUGACGGUACCCGAAGAAGAAGCCCCGGCUAACUUCGUGCCAGCCGCCGCCGUAA
rnacentral:rRNA from 1 species